GACGAACGCUGGCGGCGUGCCUAACACAUGCAAGUCGAACGGAAAGGCUCUGCUGUAGUUGGCUGCACGAGUGGCUAACGGGUGCGUAACAGGGGAGUAACCUGCCCUUGCCUUUGGGGUAACGUCAGGAAACUGGGGCUAAUAACGGCUAGUAGCUCCUACUGCUUGUUAGGGGUUGGAAAGUUGCGGCGGUUGGGGAUUGACUCGCGGCUUAUCAGCUUGUUGGUGUGGUAGUGGCUUACCAAGGUAUUGACGGGUAGCCGGCCUGAGAGGGUGACCGGCCACAUUGGGACUGAGAUACGAGCCAGACUCCUACGGGAGGCAGCAGUGGGGAUUAUUGCACAAUGGGCGGAAGGCUUAUGCAGCAACGCCGCGUGCUGGAUGACGGUCGUCGGGGUGUAAACCGCGUGCGCGUGUGACGAAGCGAGAGUGACGGUAAUGGGUAAAGAAGCACCGGCUAACUACGUG
rnacentral:rRNA from 1 species